rnacentral:lncRNA from 1 species
AGAUCACCUGCGUUGAAUCUCUUGGCUCUCAGCAGCCCUUCUGAGUGGCAAUUCUCUUUGCAAGCUCUGCUUUGUGAGUAAGAAUCAAGACCUUGCUCUGCUAGGAUCUGGAGGUCUUUGGCUGCCGGAGAAACAACGCUUCCAUCUGUGAAAAUGGUUGCAAUCUACCAAGUAGUUCAAGUGCAGGGCACCAUGUCCUAGGCAUCCCUCAGCUGCCUGGAUACAGAAUGACAGCCUAAGGAGCCAGUAAAGGAGACCUCCCAAAACCAGCUACAUCUGAAUCGUCCCAAUACAGUAUCCCAGACUUGAGAUU